rnacentral:lncRNA from 1 species
UAGGUCCUUGGGGACGCAUAGUUAAGGUGCCAGGACAUCCUGGAAGCUGGGAAAUGAUUUCUUCCAGACCAUGGCUGGAGAAGGAAAGAAGGUGUGUUUUGCCUGAUUCAGGGACUAUAGAGAGAACCAAGUUCUGCAGGCCUGUCAUCUAAGUCUCAGGGCGGGGAGACCUUCCUUCCCCACGGGUUUGAGGCUAUGGCUAAGUGGUGAGCCUUGGUGAGACGCAGAAAGGAUCCAUCCCAGGCACUUGGCUAGAGGCAGGUUCCUGGGAUCUGAUAAAACUGAUAUUGGAGACGCUGGAGCUGAUCCGACAUAGCAAUGGUGUUGACUCCCUCCUUAUGUGUGGAUUGCUCAGCGGGGGAACUUGACUGUCCAACAUGCUGGGUGCAAGAACAGCAGAAAGGGGACUUUUAAGAUGUGGCAAACAUGAGGCCUCUUCGGAGAGGACUUUGGAAACCAGGCCUUGCUUGGCUGAAUGCUAUCCCAGUGAUUGUACGUGCCCUGUUUGCUGAAUCUACUCAUCCUUAAGGGUACAUUUGCUUCCAGGUAACAUGUUUGUGACUAAUACUACAAUGUGCAUAUAUCUAUUCCAUGUUCUGCUUUGUCUGUUUGGGAUAUUUUUCAUACACUGAUUCAGUACCAUGUGUAUUCCCUUGCUUUUGUUGUCUCAUCCGUUGAUGUUACGUCCCCCAAAUUAUUGCCACGACCAGUUGUCAUGAAGCUUCACCCUUCUGUAUUGUGCUAGGAAUUUUACAGCUAUAGGUUUUACAUUAUAGUCUUCAUUCAUUUUUUAAAAUUGACACAUGUAAUUGUGCAUAUUUUGGGGAAACAAUUAUAUAUAUAUGUUGUAUAACAAUAAAAAUCAGAGUACUUCUAUACUUGUUGCCUCAUGCAUUUGUUAUUUUUGUGGUGAGAAUAUUCAAAAGCUUCUUCUCUAGCUAUUUUAUUUUAUCUUUAAGUAUUAAAUUUUUUUAGAGACAGGAUCUUGCUCUAACACCCAGACUGGUGUGCAGUGGUGCAAUCUUAGCUCACUGUAACUUCAAACAGUCUUCUAACCUUAGUUUCCCAAUUAGCUGAGACUACAGGAAGCUGCCACCAUGCCUGGCUAAUGUUUUAAUUUUUCAUAGAGACAGGGUCACACUAUGUUGUCCAGGCUCAUCUUGAACUUCUGACGUCAAGUGAUUCUCCU